AUGUCGACUAGGUUAUGGACGCUGAUAAUUCAGGCAGCAGCACUGAUAAGUGUGAUUCAGGCAUUGGUCAUGUUCAUGCACCAGAGAGUUGUUCGUCGUGUUGGGAGACCUUUGAUCCGUUAUGGUCCCAUGUUUAUCUGGGAAUAGGAGAGGAUCCAAAAUUGGAACAACAUCUACAACUGCAAAGACGUCGAGGCUCUAUGGAUGCUUCGAAUGAAAAGAGCACCAUUUGCCAGGCUUGUCGAGACCUUCAGGAGCAGGGGGCUGCUACAAGAUAACAUCAACACCAUUGUGGAAGAGCAAGUGGCCAUGUUCCUCCAUGUUGUUGGCCAUAACCAGAGGUUCAGGGUCAUUCACAACACGUUCAGGAGAUCAACGGAGACCAUCUCUAGGUACUUCAAGCAUGUGCUUUUUGUUUUUGGGGAGCUUAGAGGAGAGAUGAUCAGAAAACCAUUUGUCCGGAUUCCACCCAAGAUUCGCGGAAGCCCAAGAUGA
rnacentral:rRNA from 1 species